GAAUUGCGAUAAGUAAUGUGAAUUGCAGAAUUCGUGAGUCAUCGAAUCCUUGAACGCACAUGGCGCCUGGGGGCCAUCUCCCAGGCACGCCUGUUUGAGUGUCGUUUUUUUCCUCAAUCACCGUGCCUCAACUACGGUGGAUGUUGAGUAUUGGUCUCCCUAGCCAGAGGCCAUUACUUAAAAUGCAGUUCCGGUCUUACCAUAGCAAGUGACCUGAGCGGGAUUGCUAUGAACUCCAUACAUCCUACAAGGGACCACUGCCAAUGAGUAGUGACUGGUGCAAGGAUGUGAUACCCAAAGCGACCUCAAAUCAGGCGAGACCACCCGCUGAACUUAA
rnacentral:misc_RNA from 1 species